rnacentral:hammerhead_ribozyme from 1 species
AUCUAGCCGACGAGUCCUAAAUAGGACGAAACGCGCAUGUUGGAU